GGUGAAAAGCACCCCGGAAGGGGAGUGAAAUAGAACCUGAAACCGUGUGCUUACAAGUAGUCAGAGCCCGUUAAUGGGUGAUGGCGUGCCUUUUGUAGAAUGAACCGGCGAGUUACGAUUUGAUGCAAGGUUAAGCAGUAAAUGUGGAGCCGUAGCGAAAGCGAGUCUGAAUAGGGCGUUUAGUAUUUGGUCGUAGACCCGAAACCAGGUGAUCUACCCUUGGUCAGGUUGAAGUUCAGGUAACACUGAAUGGAGGACCGAACCGACUUACGUUGAAAAGUGAGCGGAUGAACUGAGGGUAGCGGAGAAAUUCCAAUCGAACCUGGAGAUAGCUGGUUCUCUCCGAAAUAGCUUUAGGGCUAGCCUCAAGUGAUGAUUAUUGGAGGUAGAGCACUGUUUGGACGAGGGGCCCCUCUCGGGUUACCGAAUUCAGACAAACUCCGAAUGCCAAUUAAUUUAACUUGGGAGUCAGAACAUGGGUGAUAAGGUCCGUGUUCGAAAGGGAAACAGCCCAGACCACCAGCUAAGGUCCCAAAAUAUAUGUUAAGUGGAAAAGGAUGUGGCGUUGCCCAGACAACUAGGAUGUUGGCUUAGAAGCAGCCAUCAUUUAAAGAGUGCGUAAUAGCUCACUAGUCGAGUGACACUGCGCCGAAAAUGUACCGGGGCUAAACAUAUUACCGAAGCUGUGGAUUGUCCUUUGGACAAUGGUAGGAGAGCGUUCUAAGGGCGUUGAAGCAUGAUCGUAAGGACAUGUGGAGCGCUUAGAAGUGAGAAUGCCGGUGUGAGUAGCGAAAGACGGGUGAGAAUCCCGUCCACCGAUUGACUAAGGUUUCCAGAGGAAGGCUCGUCCGCUCUGGGUUAGUCGGGUCCUAAGCUGAGGCCGACAGGCGUAGGCGAUGGAUAACAGGUUGAUAUUCCUGUACCACCUAUAAUCGUUUUAAUCGAUGGGGGGACGCAGUAGGAUAGGCGAAGCGUGCGAUUGGAUUGCACGUCUAAGCAGUAAGGCUGAGUAUUAGGCAAAUCCGGUACUCAUUAAGGCUGAGCUGUGAUGGGGAGAAGACAUUGUGUCUUCGAGUCGUUGAUUUCACACUGCCGAGAAAAGCCUCUAGAUAGAAAAUAGGUGCCCGUACCGCAAACCGACACAGGUAGUCAAGAUGAGAAUUCUAAGGUGAGCGAGCGAACUCUCGUUAAGGAACUCGGCAAAAUGACCCCGUAACUUCGGGAGAAGGGGUGCUCUUUAGGGUUAACGCCCAGAAGAGCCGCAGUGAAUAGGCCCAAGCGACUGUUUAUCAAAAACACAGGUCUCUGCUAAACCGUAAGGUGAUGUAUAGGGGCUGACGCCUGCCCGGUGCUGGAAGGUUAAGAGGAGUGGUUAGCUUCUGCGAAGCUACGAAUCGAAGCCCCAGUAAACGGCGGCCGUAACUAUAACGGUCCUAAGGUAGCGAAAUUCCUUGUCGGGUAAGUUCCGACCCGCACGAAAGGCGUAACGAUUUGGGCACUGUCUCAACGAGAGACUCGGUGAAAUCAUAGUACCUGUGAAGAUGCAGGUUACCCGCGACAGGACGGAAAGACCCCGUGGAGCUUUACUGUAGCCUGAUAUUGAAAUUCGGCACAGCUUGUACAGGAUAGGUAGGAGCCUUUGAAACGUGAGCGCUAGCUUACGUGGAGGCGCUGGUGGGAUACUACCCUAGCUGUGUUGGCUUUCUAACCCGCACCACUUAUCGUGGUGGGAGACAGUGUCAGGCGGGCAGUUUGACUGGGGCGGUCGCCUCCUAAAAGGUAACGGAGGCGCUCAAAGGUUCCCUCAGAAUGGUUGGAAAUCAUUCAUAGAGUGUAAAGGCAUAAGGGAGCUUGACUGCGAGACCUACAAGUCGAGCAGGGUCGAAAGACGGACUUAGUGAUCCGGUGGUUCCGCAUGGAAGGGCCAUCGCUCAACGGAUAAAAGCUACCCCGGGGAUAACAGGCUUAUCUCCCCCAAGAGUUCACAUCGACGGGGAGGUUUGGCACCUCGAUGUCGGCUCAUCGCAUCCUGGGGCUGUAGUCGGUCCCAAGGGUUGGGCUGUUCGCCCAUUAAAGCGGUACG
rnacentral:rRNA from 1 species